UACUUCAUACUGUUUAUGAUUUAAAGAAAAACGUGUGAAUGUUUCCACAUCUGCUGCUUUUAUUUCCAGAGUAUCUGACAUAUUUGAACGUGUUGAUGACUCUCUGUGUGCUGAUGUGCAUGAGAGGUUUGUUAAAGGGAAGUGAAACAAUGUGUGAGUGAGUGACUGGUGGAGCAGAAAAAGCAUCUGACAGAAACUCCUUGAAGGACUAAACCAAGUCUCUCACAGUGAAGGUGUCCAAGUGGCUGCUGUUUGAUUGACAGCUGUGUGCUCCCUGUCCUCUAAGCUGAUUGGUGUCUCCUAGGUGAUGUCCGUCCCUCCCUGACGGUGCUGCCCCCCUCCACAGAGGAGCUGCAGCAGGGGAAGGCCACGCUCAUGUGUCUGGCCAACAAGGGCUUCCCCUCAGACUGGAGUCUGUCCUGGAAGGUGGAUGGCGGCAUCAUCAGUAGCAGCUGGGAGGAGAGCAGGAGCCCCGGGGUGCUGCAGGAGGACGGCCUCUACAGCUGGAGCAGCACCCUGAGGCUCCCUGCAGACCAGUGGGGGAAGGUGGGCUCUGUGAGCUGUGAGGCCACCCAGGGCUCCCAGACUCCACUCUCAGAGAAACUGUGGAGAGACCUGUGUUCCCAGUCCUGACCUCACCCACUGGGAACAUCACACUGGUUCCACUCUGCUGUUCUCUGUAUUUCUCUUUCUGUCGUUGUCUCACUUUUCUAUUGCGACUUUAUCUUAUCAUUAAUAUUGUUCACCUUCAGUGAUACUUUUGCUUUUUAUGCUUGAAAACAACAUACUUUGUCUCUCAGGUUGCAGACUUUAUUGUGGAUUUUGUCAUGAAUCUUUAUCAUGUGGAAACAUCACACUGGUUCUGUUCUGAUACUGUUCUCUGGUUGCUCUCUGUAACUUUCUCUCUUUCUAAAAUCAUCCUUAUUCUGAUGGUUAAAGCAUUUUAAAAUAAUAAAAAAUGUAUCAAGAAAACAA